GCAUAUCUAUAAGCGGAGGAAAAAGAAAACCCAACAGGGAUUGCCUCAGUAACGGCGAGUGAAGCGGCAAGAGCUCAAAUUUGAAAUCUGGCUCCUUCGGGGCCCGAGUUGUAAUUUGGAGAGGAUGCUUCGGGCGUGGCCCCCAUCUAAGUGCCCUGGAACGGGCCGUCAUAGAGGGUGAGAAUCCCGUCUGGGAUGGGUGGUCCCGCCCGUGUGAAGCUCCUUCGAAGAGUCGAGUUGUUUGGGAAUGCAGCUCUAAGAGGGUGGUAAAUUUCAUCUAAAGCUAAAUAUUGGCCGGAGACCGAUAGCGCACAAGUAGAGUGAUCGAAAGAUGAAAAGCACUUUGAAAAGAGAGUUAAACAGCACGUGAAAUUGUUGAAAGGGAAGCGUUGGCAACCAGACUCGCCCGGGAGGGCUCAGCCGGCACGUGUGCCGGUGCACUCCCCCCCGGGCGGGCCAGCGUCGGUUUGGGCGGUCGGUCAAAGGUCCCGGGAAUGUAGCACCCUCCGGGGUGCCUUAUAGCCCGAGGCGCCAUGCGACCUGCCCGGACCGAGGAACGCGCUUCGGCUCGGACGCUGGCGUAAUGGUUGUCAACGGCCCGUCUUGAAACACGGACCAAGGAGUCUAACAUCUAUGCGAGUGUUCGGGUGUCAAACCCGUCCGCGCAGUGAAAGCGAACGGAGGUGGGAACCCCUUCGGGGGUGCACCAUCGACCGAUCCUGAUGUCUUCGGAUGGAUUUGAGUAAGAGCAUAGCUGUUGGGACCCGAAAGAUGGUGAACUAUGCCUGAAUAGGGCGAAGCCAGAGGAAACUCUGGUGGAGGCUCGCAGCGGUUCUGACGUGCAAAUCGAUCGUCGAAUUUGGGUAUAGGGGCGAAAGACUAAUCGAACCCAUCUGGUAGCUGGAUACAUACAGAA
rnacentral:rRNA from 1 species